CAGUAGCCACGGUAAUGCGGAGGGCGCGAGCGUUACCCGGAUUUACUGGGCGUAAAGGGCGUGUAGGCGGCCUGGGGCGUCCCAUGUGAAAGGCCACGGCUCAACCGUGGAGGAGCGUGGGAUACGCUCAGGCUAGAGGGUGGGAGAGGGUGGUGGAAUUCCCGGAGUAGCGGUGAAAUGCGCAGAUACCGGGAGGAACGCCGAUGGCGAAGGCAGCCACCUGGUCCACUUCUGACGCCGAGGCGCGAAAGCGUGGGGAGCAAACCGGAUUAGAUACCCCCGUAGUCCCUGUCUCUUAUAA
rnacentral:rRNA from 1 species